rnacentral:rRNA from 1 species
AUUUAGCAUGCUAGUUGUGCGGGUUUAGACCCGCAGCGGAAAGCUCAGUAACACGUGGCCAAGCUACCCUGUGGACGGGAAUACUCUCGGGAAACUGAGGCUAAUCCCCGAUAACGCUUUGCUCCUGGAAGGGGCAAAGCCGGAAACGCUCCGGCGCCACAGGAUGCGGCUGCGGUCGAUUAGGUAGACGGUGGGGUAACGGCCCACCGUGCCCAUAAUCGGUACGGGUUGUGAGAGCAAGAGCCCGGAGACGGAAUCUGAGACAAGAUUCCGGGCCCUACGGGGCGCAGCAGGCGCGAAACCUUUACACUGUACGAAAGUGCGAUAAGGGGACUCCGAGUGUGAAGGCAUAGAGCCUUCACUUUUGUACACCGUAAGGUGGUGCACGAAUAAGGACUGGGCAAGACCGGUGCCAGCCGCCGCGGUAAUACCGGCAGUCCGAGUGAUGGCCGAUCUUAUUGGGCCUAAAGCGUCCGUAGCUGGCUGAACAAGUCCGUUGGGAAAUCUGUCCGCUUAACGGGCAGGCGUCCAGCGGAAACUGUUCAGCUUGGGACCGGAAGACCUGAGGGGUACGUCUGGGGUAGGAGUGAAAUCCUGUAAUCCUGGACGGACCGCCGGUGGCGAAAGCGCCUCAGGAGAACGGAUCCGACAGUGAGGGACGAAAGCUAGGGUCUCGAACCGGAUUAGAUACCCGGGUAGUCCUAGCUGUAAACGAUGUCCGCUAGGUGUGGCGCAGGCUACGAGCCUGCGCUGUGCCGUAGGGAAGCCGAGAAGCGGACCGCCUGGGAAGUACGUCUGCAAGGAUGAAACUUAAAGGAAUUGGCGGGGGAGCACUACAACCGGAGGAGCCUGCGGUUUAAUUGGACUCAACGCCGGACAUCUCACCAGCCCCGACAGUAGUAAUGACGGUCAGGUUGAUGACCUUACCCGAGGCUACUGAGAGGAGGUGCAUGGGCCGCCGUCAGCUCGUACCGUGAGGCGUCCUGUUAAGUCAGGCAACGAGCGAGACCCGCACUCCUAAUUG